rnacentral:rRNA from 1 species
AAAGCGCACGCAGGCGGUCUGUUAAGUCAGAUGUGAAAUCCCCGGGCUUAACCUGGGAACUGCAUUUGAAACUGGCAGGCUUGAGUCUUGUAGAGGGGGGUAGAAUUCCAGGUGUAGCGGUGAAAUGCGUAGAGAUCUGGAGGAAUACCGGUGGCGAAGGCGGCCCCCUGGACAAAGACUGAUGCUCAGGUGCGAAAGCGUGGGGAGCAAACAGGAUUAGAUACCCUAGU